GAAAGAGCGUAUGGCGGAUGCCUAGGCACAGAGAGGCGAAGAAGGACGCAGCAAACAGCGAAAUGCGACGGUUAGCAGUAAGCAUGCAACGAUCCGUCGAUGUCCGAAUGGGGGAACCCACCUGGAGUAGAGACCAGGUAUCCUGAAGUGAAUAAAUAGCUUCAGAGAGGCGAGACUCAGGGAACUGAAACAUCUAAGUACCUGAAGGAAGAGAAAAUAAACGAAUGAUUCCCUAAGUAGCGGCGAGCGAAAGGGGAAGAGCCCAAACCGAUCUUAGGAUCGGGGUUGUAGGACUGUCGGCAAAGAGCAAGAAAUCAUUAUAGGCGAACGGAAUGGGAAGUCCGGCGAAACAGGGUGACAGCCCCGUAGCCGAAAUAGUGAAGAAGCACGAGACAGCACCUGAGUACGGCGGGACACGAGGAAUCCUGUCGGAAUCCACCAGGACCAUCUGGUAAGGCUAAAUACUCCUCUGUGACCGAUAGUGAACCAGUACCGUGAGGGAAAGGUGAAAAGAACCCCGGGAGGGGAGUGAAAUAGAACCUGAAACCAUAUGCUUACAAGAAGUUAGAGCCCGUUAAAGGGUGAUAGCGUGCCUUUUGUAGAAUGAACCGGCGAGUUACGAUAUGGAGCGAGGUUAAGCAGGAUAUGCGGAGCCGAAGCGAAAGCGAGUCUUAACAGGGCGAAAGUUGCAUGUCGUAGACCCGAAACCGAGUGAUCUAGCCAUGACCAGGUUGAAGUUGGGGUAAAACCCGAUGGAGGACCGAACCGACCCCCGUUGAAACGUUGGCGGAUGAGUUGUGGCUAGGGGUGAAAUUCCAAUCGAACUCGGAGAUAGCUGGUUCUCCCCGAAAUAGCUUUAGGGCUAGCGUCGAGGUAAAGUCGUGUGAAGGUAGAGCACUGAAUAUGUGAUGGCCCCAUCUCGGGGUACUGAACAUAAUCAAACUCCGAAUGUCACAAAGAUAUACUCGGCAGUCAGACAGUGGGUGAUAAGGUCCAUUGUCAAAAGGGAAACAGCCCAGACCAUCAGCUAAGGUCCCAAAAUAUAUACUAAGUGGAAAAGGAUGUGGAGAUGUCCAGACAACUAGGAGGUUGGCUCAGAAGCAGCCAUCCUUUAAAGAGUGCGUAACAGCUCACUAGUCGAAUGACUCUGCGCCGAUAAUUUACCGGGGCUAAGUAUAUUACCGAAGCUAUGGAUUUACGCGUAAGCGUGAGUGGUAGGGGAGCGUUCUAUGUGCGGAGAAGCGGUACCGUAAGGAGCCGUGGAGCGCAUAGAAGAGAGAAUGCCGGUGUGAGUAGCGAAACGUGGGUGAGAAUCCCACGCACCGAAAACCCAAGGUUUCCAGAGGAAGGUUCGUCCGCUCUGGGUAAGUCGGGACCUAAGGCGAGGCCGAGAGGCGUAGUCGAUGGACAACAGGUAGAGAUUCCUGUACUUACGGUAUGAAUGAUGGAGUGACGGAGAAGGCUAGCGGAUCCUGCUGAUGGAAAUGCAGGUGCAAGCGAGGUAGCCGACAGCCAGGCAAAUCCGGCUGUCGAAAGGCAAAGGCGUGAGGCGUAUGGAAAGCUGCGGCAAGUACAGAAGUCCGUGAAGCCAGCUUCCAAGAAAAGCUUCUAGUGAUAAUCAUACAGUAACCCGUACCGAAAAUGGACACACAUGGGUGAGGAGAGAAUCCUAAGGUGAGCGAGAGAACUAUAGCUAAGGAACUCUGCAAAAUGACUCCGUAACUUAGGGAUAAGGAGUGCUCAUAGAGAUAUGAGCCGCAGUGAAACGGCCCAAGCGACUGUUUACCAAAAACACAGCUCUAUGCUAAGUCGAAAGACGACGUAUAUGGGGUGACGCCUGCCCGGUGCUGGAAGGUUAAGAGGAUGUGUCAGCGCAAGCGAAGCAUUGAAUUGAAGCCCCAGUAAACGGCGGCCGUAACUAUAACGGUCCUAAGGUAGCGAAAUUCCUUGUCAGGUAAGUUCUGACCCGC
rnacentral:rRNA from 1 species